AGGCUAAGUGGGAGUUGUUGGGAUUUGUAUCCUAAAUGUCAAUCGUCAGCAUAUUGAUGAUUGAAUUUUGUAAAUGAAUUGACAAAUUAAUAAAGUGUUAUUUGGCAUUAUUCAUCAUUUCAUCUUCAAAUGAACUCUUAUAUGAUGAAGUCCUUAGGACCUAUGUUAUGAUAAAGGAGGAUUUAUCUUUGAGUCCUUAAACUUGUUCGCGACCAAAUGAAAUGUUGUUACUAGGACGACAGCAUUAUCGAGAUUAGGUCGUUGUGUGACAUAUACGUUGGUUGU
rnacentral:lncRNA from 1 species